rnacentral:rRNA from 1 species
UUAAGCGACUAAGCGUACACGGUGGAUGCCCUGGCAGUCAGAGGCGAUGAAGGACGUGCUAAUCUGCGAUAAGCGUCGGUAAGGUGAUAUGAACCGUUAUAACCGGCGAUUUCCGAAUGGGGAAACCCAGUGUGAUUCGUCACACUAUCAUUAACUGAAUCCAUAGGUUAAUGAGGCGAACCGGGGGAACUGAAACAUCUAAGUACCCCGAGGAAAAGAAAUCAACCGAGAUUCCCCCAGUAGCGGCGAGCGAACGGGGAGCAGCCCAGAGCUUGAAUCAGUGUGUGUGUUAGUGGAAGCGUCUGGAAAGGCGUGCGAUACAGGGUGACAGCCCCGUACACAAAAAUGCACAUACUGUGAGCUCGAUGAGUAGGGCGGGACACGUGGUAUCCUGUCUGAAUAUGGGGGGACCAUCCUCCAAGGCUAAAUACUCCUGACUGACCGAUAGUGAACCAGUACCGUGAGGGAAAGGCGAAAAGAACCCCGGCGAGGGGAGUGAAAAAGAACCUGAAACCGUGUACGUACAAGCAGUGGGAGCACGCUUAGGCGUGUGACUGCGUACCUUUUGUAUAAUGGGUCAGCGACUUAUAUUCUGUAGCAAGGUUAACCGAAUAGGGGAGCCGAAGGGAAACCGAGUCUUAACUGGGCGUUAAGUUGCAGGGUAUAGACCCGAAACCCGGUGAUCUAGCCAUGGGCAGGUUGAAGGUUGGGUAACACUAACUGGAGGACCGAACCGACUAAUGUUGAAAAAUUAGCGGAUGACUUGUGGCUGGGGGUGAAAGGCCAAUCAAACCGGGAGAUAGCUGGUUCUCCCCGAAAGCUAUUUAGGUAGCGCCUCGUGAAUUCAUCUCCGGGGGUAGAGCACUGUUUCGGCAAGGGGGUCAUCCCGACUUACCAACCCGAUGCAAACUGCGAAUACCGGAGAAUGUUAUCACGGGAGACACACGGCGGGUGCUAACGUCCGUCGUGAAGAGGGAAACAACCCAGACCGCCAGCUAAGGUCCCAAAGUCAUGGUUAAGUGGGAAACGAUGUGGGAAGGCCCAGACAGCCAGGAUGUUGGCUUAGAAGCAGCCAUCAUUUAAAGAAAGCGUAAUAGCUCACUGGUCGAGUCGGCCUGCGCGGAAGAUGUAACGGGGCUAAACCAUGCACCGAAGCUGCGGCAGCGACGCUUAUGCGUUGUUGGGUAGGGGAGCGUUCUGUAAGCCUGUGAAGGUGUGCUGUGAGGUAUGCUGGAGGUAUCAGAAGUGCGAAUGCUGACAUAAGUAACGAUAAAGCGGGUGAAAAGCCCGCUCGCCGGAAGACCAAGGGUUCCUGUCCAACGUUAAUCGGGGCAGGGUGAGUCGACCCCUAAGGCGAGGCCGAAAGGCGUAGUCGAUGGGAAACAGGUUAAUAUUCCUGUACUUGGUGUUACUGCGAAGGGGGGACGGAGAAGGCUAUGUUGGCCGGGCGACGGUUGUCCCGGUUUAAGCGUGUAGGCUGGUUUUCCAGGCAAAUCCGGAAAAUCAAGGCCGAGGCGUGAUGACGAGGCACUACGGUGCUGAAGCAACAAAUGCCCUGCUUCCAGGAAAAGCCUCUAAGCAUCAGGUAACAUCAAAUCGUACCCCAAACCGACACAGGUGGUCAGGUAGAGAAUACCAAGGCGCUUGAGAGAACUCGGGUGAAGGAACUAGGCAAAAUGGUGCCGUAACUUCGGGAGAAGGCACGCUGAUACGUAGGUGAAGCGACUUGCUCGUGGAGCUGAAAUCAGUCGAAGAUACCAGCUGGCUGCAACUGUUUAUUAAAAACACAGCACUGUGCAAACACGAAAGUGGACGUAUACGGUGUGACGCCUGCCCGGUGCCGGAAGGUUAAUUGAUGGGGUUAGCGCAAGCGAAGCUCUUGAUCGAAGCCCCGGUAAACGGCGGCCGUAACUAUAACGGUCCUAAGGUAGCGAAAUUCCUUGUCGGGUAAGUUCCGACCUGCACGAAUGGCGUAAUGAUGGCCAGGCUGUCUCCACCCGAGACUCAGUGAAAUUGAACUCGCUGUGAAGAUGCAGUGUACCCGCGGCAAGACGGAAAGACCCCGUGAACCUUUACUAUAGCUUGACACUGAACAUUGAGCCUUGAUGUGUAGGAUAGGUGGGAGGCUUUGAAGUGUGGACGCCAGUCUGCAUGGAGCCGACCUUGAAAUACCACCCUUUAAUGUUUGAUGUUCUAACGUGGACCCGUGAUCCGGGUUGCGGACAGUGUCUGGUGGGUAGUUUGACUGGGGCGGUCUCCUCCUAAAGAGUAACGGAGGAGCACGAAGGUUGGCUAAUCCUGGUCGGACAUCAGGAGGUUAGUGCAAUGGCAUAAGCCAGCUUGACUGCGAGCGUGACGGCGCGAGCAGGUGCGAAAGCAGGUCAUAGUGAUCCGGUGGUUCUGAAUGGAAGGGCCAUCGCUCAACGGAUAAAAGGUACUCCGGGGAUAACAGGCUGAUACCGCCCAAGAGUUCAUAUCGACGGCGGUGUUUGGCACCUCGAUGUCGGCUCAUCACAUCCUGGGGCUGAAGUAGGUCCCAAGGGUAUGGCUGUUCGCCAUUUAAAGUGGUACGCGAGCUGGGUUUAGAACGUCGUGAGACAGUUCGGUCCCUAUCUGCCGUGGGCGCUGGAGAACUGAGGGGGGCUGCUCCUAGUACGAGAGGACCGGAGUGGACGCAUCACUGGUGUUCGGGUUGUCAUGCCAAUGGCACUGCCCGGUAGCUAAAUGCGGAAGAGAUAAGUGCUGAAAGCAUCUAAGCACGAAACUUGCCCCGAGAUGAGUUCUCCCUGACCCUUUAAGGGUCCUGAAGGAACGUUGAAGACGACGACGUUGAUAGGCCGGGUGUGUAAGCGCAGCGAUGCGUUGAGCUAACCGGUACUAAUGAACCGUGAGGCUUAACCUU